CAUGCAGGCGGUCGUACGCGUUUUGUGUGACAGCGGGUGGCUUAACUACCCGAGUAUGCGAAAGACGGUAUGACUUGAGGGCUCGAGAGGGACACGGAAUUCCGGGUGGAGUGGUGAAAUGCGUAGAGAUCCGGAGGAACACCGAAGGCGAAGGCAGUGUCCUGGCGAGUGACUGACGCUGAGGUGCGAAAGCUAGGGGAGCGAACGGGAUUAGAUACCCCGGUAGUCCUAGCCGUAAACGAUGACCACCAGGUGUGGGAGGUAUCGACCCCUUCCGUGCCGGAGUUAACACACUAAGUGGUCCGCCUGGGGAGUACGGUCGCAAGAUUAAA
rnacentral:rRNA from 1 species